CGUUGAACUCCUCAUUAAAAGGCUGUCGUCAGGGAGCACACUUUCUACGCAUGGCAUUGAGUGUACAUUCCCUACUGGCCAUGUUUGUGAAAUCGAAACUUCCUUGGGCAAGAUUUUGAAUUUCAGUCGGUGGCUACGUUUACUCAAUGACAUGCUUAGACCAUACAUAUCACAAUAACUGCAUGGCGGGGAGGUAACAAUAAUAUGGCAAUUCGGAACCAAAACCUCCCGCUAUGGGCAAAUAUAAACAAGAAAUCAUGCCCAAAAGAGCCACUAAAAAAAGGCAUGUCGAAGUGGAUCCAAGUUUCCCUGUCGUUUUAUCACGGUUGUGAGGAGAACACAUCCCACGGAAAUGGAUAUUUUACCCUCACAAUUGCUACGAACGACAAGUUUGCUUUGCUCCAUAGACAUAUUUGUAGUUGUUAUACACCACAUCAAUCCAACGACAAUCAAUUUGGACACGGCGGACCUCCAACGUCAUGAAAAUUGUGGUCCAGCUGCCCAAAUAGUUAUCCCAGAUCCCACCAGCAACCACUAGGUAGUGGCAGUUGCCCCAACAAAACACUGAGUGCACUCUCAAAAUCAGUGUACGGUGCAACUCUGAUUUUGUGAUAUUGCUAGUUCGCGCCAUUUUUCGUUGUUUGUGUGUGUUAUGGCUCUUAACUAUAAUACACACACACAACCAAAAGUCGUUGACAGAUAGUGAACUUCGCGAGAAAAAAAAAUUUCUCAGCUGUUUACAGAACACUACCUGGUAAUGAUGUCAUGGAAAAAUUUACAUUUCACGACGCCCAAGAAGAGCACAAUCAAAGUUGCUGCGCAAUAAGUCGUCUUCUUGUGUAAAUAAACGCGAUCGCCAUACUUCUAAUUGUAACAUACUUGUUAGUGUAAGUGAUCUUGUUCACACGUGCUUAUUCGGGGUGGAAAACAAUUUGUUAUAUGGGGAUGCAUAAAUAUGAAAGAAUUUGUAGGUAAAUACUAGCUGACCCGGGCUCGCUCCGCUGAGCCUUCUUUUACUUUAUAUGGAACAAAAGUUUCCUUGGAAUAUUUAUUUUCGAAGAUCUUUUAGUGAAAUACCAUGCUAACAAUUUAACAAUAUAAGUACCUUUAUCUGAA